rnacentral:rRNA from 1 species
AGUGAACGCUGGCGGUAGGCCUAACACAUGCAAGUCGAACGGCAGCACAGAGGAGCUUGCUCCUUGGGUGGCGAGUGGCGGACGGGUGAGGAAUACAUCGGAAUCUACUCUGUCGUGGGGGAUAACGUAGGGAAACUUACGCUAAUACCGCAUACGACCUACGGGUGAAAGCAGGGGACCUUCGGGCCUUGCGCGAUUGAAUGAGCCGAUGUCGGAUUAGCUAGUUGGCGGGGUAAAGGCCCACCAAGGCGACGAUCCGUAGCUGGUCUGAGAGGAUGAUCAGCCACACUGGAACUGAGACACGGUCCAGACUCCUACGGGAGGCAGCAGUGGGGAAUAUUGGACAAUGGGCGCAAGCCUGAUCCAGCCAUACCGCGUGGGUGAAGAAGGCCUUCGGGUUGUAAAGCCCUUUUGUUGGGAAAGAAAUCCAUCUGGUUAAUACCCGGGUGGGAUGACGGUACCCAUAGAAUAAGCACCGACUAACUUCGUGCCAGCCGCCGCGGUAA